GAUGCUUUAACAUGCAAGUCGACGGCAGCACGGGAGCUUGCUCCUGGUGGCGAGUGGCGAACGGGUGAGUAAUACCUAGGAACAUGUCCAGUAAUGGGGGAUAACGCAGCGAAAGCUGUGCUAAUACCGCAUACGCCCUACGGGGGAAAGCGGGGGAUUCGCAAGAACCUCGCGUUAUUGGAGUGGCCUAGGCCUGAUUAGCUAGCUGGUGAGGUAAAGGCUCACCAAGGCGACGAUCAGUAGCUGGUCUGAGAGGAUGAUCAGCCACACUGGAACUGAGACACGGUCCAGACUCCUACGGGAGGCAGCAGUGGGGAAUUUUGGACAAUGGGGGAAACCCUGAUCCAGCCAUUCCGCGUGAGUGAAGAAGGCCUUCGGGUUGUAAAGCUCUUUCAGGAGGGAAGAAACGGUUUUGGAUAAUACCUGAGACUAAUGACGGUACCUUCAGAAGAAGCACCGGCUAACUACGUGCCAGCAGCCGCGGUAAUACGUAGGGUGCGAGCGUUAAUCGGAAUUACUGGGCGUAAAGCGUGCGCAGGCGGUUUUGUAAGUCAGAUGUGAAAGCCCCGGGCUCAACCUGGGAACUGCGUUUGAAACUACAAGGCUAGAGUGUAGCAGAGGGGGGUAGAAUUCCACGUGUAGCAGUGAAAUGCGUAGAGAUGUGGAGGAAUACCGAUGGCGAAUGCAGCCCCCUGGGUUAACACUGACGCUCAUGUACGA
rnacentral:rRNA from 1 species